CUGGCCGGGGCCGCUGCGGCUCGGGGCUCGCGGGCGCCUCGCAGCGGCCGGGCGAAGCGCUGGCGGUUUGUCUGCUUGGGGGCGUCUUUGAAGGCCCCGCUGGGGGAGAAGAGCAGGAGGAGUUGGAGAUUUCUUAGGAGAAACGUGAUGCCCGUUUCCAGUUUCUCCAGAUCUGAACUGUCAUAAUAUUCAAUUGAAGCUACUGGCUGUGAAUGAAAUCCACGCUCUCAACAUACAGGGAUGGCAGCUUCCAGACAGGCAAUAUUGUCACAAAGAAGAAGGGGUCAACCAAUUUUCCAAAGC